GGGGUGCGUGCAUCUGCUCGAGGGCCCGAGGUAAUGCGUCCGUGCGUGCAAUGGAAUCCUCUCGCGGGCCGGAUUGGACGGUUCGGCGGGCCACAUUUGGCCCGCGGGCCGCUAAUUGCCGACCCCUAGGUUAGUGGAGUCAGC